rnacentral:rRNA from 1 species
UACGAAGGGGGCUAGCGUUGUUCGGAAUUACUGGGCGUAAAGCGCACGUAGGCGGAAUGUUAAGUCAGGGGUGAAAUCUCGGGGCUCAACCCCGAAACUGCACUUGAUACUGCCUCGCUUGAGUACUGGAGAGGAGACUGGAAUUUACGGUGUAGCAGUGAAAUGCGUAGAUAUCGUAAGGAAGACCAGUGGCGAAGGCGAGUCUCUGGACAGUUACUGACGCUGAGGCACGAAGGCCAGGGGAGCAAACGGG